ensembl:rRNA 5S_rRNA 5S ribosomal RNA
GCAGGCAGCUAGCUCUCUGCAACUCUUACAUAGUCACCCACUGAAGCUAAGUAGGGCUGUGCCCAGUCAGUACCUGGAUGGGGGACCACAUGGGAAAGCUAGGCUGCUGCUGGAA